AGUUGGGACACGACGGCUGUACAAGCCUACACUCCACACUCACUCGUAUCUCGCCUUUUCCUCUCCCUCUCCUUCUCCACCCGCAAUGCCGCCGGAGAACAAACUAGCGUUGGUGCCUCAGCCGAGCUACACCACCGAGUUCAGAUCGUUCAACGACGAUGCUUGGUACUCGGUGGCCAUCUCUUUGGAAUCCCAAAUGCAGCUCAGAAUAAAAUACUCCAAUUUUUCCGAUGAUCACGAAUGUCAUCAGCUCCGUCAAGGCGUCAGGGUUUGUGCCUGCCACCGCUUCAGCAACGACGACGUUCGCUUCUACGACGCUGAGGUUGAUUCGGUGCAACAAAAUGAGCAUUCUUUUGAAGCCGGAGAGGAAUUGUGCUCUUGCAGAUUUGUGCUAUCGUGGUUGCAUGGGCCAAAUGAAGGAAAAUUAACCCAUACAACCAUUGAUAGUAUUUGUUUGGUUCAGCCUGUGGUAGAGCUGGAUCCUGUACUUACUUCAUUUCUAGUGGCUAGGGAGACAGCAGAAUGUCUUCUGGCUCGUCCGAUCUCCAUGGCAAAGGAAGUUUUUGGACGUGAAAUUGUUGUAUCCUGCAACGAACGCCCAACUACUGUUCCUAGGCUGGGUUAUUUUGAACGAAAUAAGAAGGAAAAACGACGCGCCAAGCGGUCUGUUGUGAAAUCUGACUCAUCUGAAGUCAGACGCCGACGCCAACGAAUGGGAGAGAGCGAUCUAGAAGGGUUGAAAAACCAGUGUGCAAUAUUGAUUGGCAAUGUUGAGAAGGAGUUAGGUCCAUUAGCUGUUGCCAACUUCCUGCAUGCACACAUUGAAAUGUCGCCUCGGGUUUUCAUUUUUCCGAGUUGUUCAUCAGAAAUAUAUACCAAGGCUGCCAUUGUUCUAGAUACUGAAAAAGAUUUUCAGAAGCUAUGUGAAUUUUUGGAUAAUCACAACCACAUCAUAACAUCUUCAACUGGCAGCCAAUUGAAUUAUUAGCUUGGUGACACUACAAAAGAGAGGAACUUGUGUUCAAAUAUCUAUAGGCCGUGGGUGAUUAUGGAAAAGUUAGUGGGGCUGAAAAAAAUUAAAGCGUCACUAGGAACAUUGUUGCCUGAAUCUAAGAAUCAAAAUGGCAGAAUGGGCAACCAUCUGAAGGUUGUUCCAUCAGGGACUCAAGAAUUCAAGACUGCCAGUGACCACAGAGAUUUGUUUUUGGAAUUUACUAAUCACCUAAAGCAACUAUAUAAGAAGCUAGCAUCAGAGGAGAGAUCGAUCUAUGGUAGUUUGUGAUAAUUGUUCAUAUUUUUAUCACCAGUUUUGUAUAUAAUUUUUUGUUGACAGUUGUAGAAAUAACUAUGUCUAUUAGAUUGUUGACAUUUGACACUUCGGAUUUUUUUAGUAUAGUUAAGCUUGCAUGAAAUUCUUGAGUAGUUGCAAAAUUCUCGAGUAGUUACAUAAAAAUCUUUUGUAUACUAUUAUUGCAAUUA